rnacentral:rRNA from 1 species
UACAGAGGUGCCGAGCGUUAGGCGGAAUCACUGGGCUUAAAGCGUGUGUAGGCGGACGUCUAAGUACCUUGUGAAAUCCCACGGCUCACCCGUGGAACUGCUGGGUAUACUGGGCGUCUUGAGCCACCUAGGGGCCAGCGGAACAAAUGGUGGAGCGGUGAAAUGCGUAGAUAUCGAGAGGAACACCAGUGGCGAAGGCGAGUCCCUGGACAAUACCUGACACUGAGGCACGAAAGCUAGGGGAGCAAACAGG